GGGCUGGUGGCGCAAUGGCUAGCGCAUUGGUUUUCGGUUGUUUCUUGACGUGAGAUCACCAAAGGUUGUGGGUUCGAGUCCCAUCUGGCUCG
rfam:Pneumocystis jirovecii RT7 supercont1.4, whole genome shotgun sequence.